GAAGAUAUAUUGCAUCAUUUUUCAAAUCACACUAGAAAUAAGUAUAUAAGACUGCCCAGGAUCGUUGGUUGUCCGUCGAUCUACAGACUGCUACUGAUUCUACAAGAACCAUGAAAGUCUUCAUUAUCGCAGUACUAACUCUGGUGGCUUUAGCCAAAGCUCAGUACUGUCCGCAGUGUAACCAAUGGACCAGAUUUUACAACCGGGACAAUCAGACGGGUCUCGGAGAUUUAGAGCUUCUUACUAGUCAUCGUUAUGACAAUCCAGGCGAAAUCUGUGAGGAACCAGAAGUUGUCGAAGCUCGGAGUACUUCGGGUAUUGGUGGAGAAGUUAUAUCAAUUGGACCUGAUUAUGGUUUAUCCUGCACUAAUUUCUUGCAAGAGGAUGGCCAGUGUGAAGAUUACGCUGUUCGAUUCUGUUGUAGAGCAGGCACCCCAGUCUGUCCUGUUGGAUUUGCUUGGACUGCCUUCUACGAUCGUGACAAUGCUACUGGAACUGGUGAUCACGAGACAUUGUCCCUUAUCAGAAAGUACCACCCCGGUGUAUGUCGGUCCCCACGAGCCAUUGAUGUCCGCGUUUCAAGUACCGGUUACGACUACAGAUCAACUGGCGAGUCUGUUUGUUUGUGUCCAUCAAGAGGCUUUUCUUGUCAAAAUGUGGAUCAAGAUGAUGCACAAUGUGAAGAUUACAAAAUUAGAUUCUGCUGUCCAACUUAAACGAACAAAAUUAGAUUGUCCAACUUAAACGAACAAAAUCAUGAUUUUAUUAACAUGGCGAAAUAAAUGCUAGCUAGCAAUCAGA